CUUGGUCAUUUAGAGGAAGUAAAAGUCGUAACAAGGUUUCCGUAGGUGAACCUGCGGAAGGAUCAUUAACAAAUCAUGAAUGUGGUGUUGGGUCCGAAAGGAUUCCUUCAUCCAUAUAUCAACCCGAACCUGUGCCUUUUAGGCCAGGCUAGGUGUGGGCUUGUAUACCUUUGGGUGUAUGAGCUCGCGGUGAAGACGCAAGUCGGAUCCACAUAGACGCUUGUUUUUGUUUGACAGAUUUCAAUUGUAUCCAAAUUAAAUGACAACUUUUAACAAUGGAUCUCUUGGCUCUUGCAACGAUGAAGAACGCAGUGAAAUGCGAAAAGUAAUGCGAUUUGCAUGAAUCUGUGAGUCAUCAAGUCUUUGAACGCACCUUGCACCGUAUGAGCAAUUGUACGGUAUACCUGUUUGAGAAUCGUAAAACCCUCUCUCAACUAUCCUUUUUCGGAAGGAUAGGUGAGGAUGUGUCUGUUCGUUUCCUCAACGUCGGAUCAAAUGUAGUAGGUUUGGAUCAGGCUGGUGGCCUGGGACACUGUGUGAUAGAGACUAGGAUUAACUCUUGUUCCCUCGGGGAUGAGAAUGAGGCCUGUGUCUUCUCAUGGUGCGUCCCAAGUCAUUUAAAGCUGGCCUGGUCAAUCAAGCCUUUAACUGCGCUAGUCAUUAGCCCUCACCGGUUAAUGACUGGGCAAACCCCCCUCUUUGAUCUCAAAUCAGGUAAGGCUACCCGCUGAACUUAAGCAUAUCAAUAAGCGGAGGA
rnacentral:rRNA from 1 species